GAUGAACGCUGGCGGCGUGCCUAAUACAUGCAAGUCGAGCGAACAGAUAAGGAGCUUGCUCCUUUGACGUUAGCGGCGGACGGGUGAGUAACACGUGGGUAACCUACCUAUAAGACUGGGAUAACUUCGGGAAACCGGAGCUAAUACCGGAUAACAUUUGGAACCGCAUGGUUCUAAAGUGAAAGAUGGUUUUGCUAUCACUUAUAGAUGGACCCGCGCCGUAUUAGCUAGUUGGUAAGGUAACGGCUUACCAAGGCGACGAUACGUAGCCGACCGGAGAGGGUGGUCGGCGACACUGGAGCGGAGACGCGGUCCAGACUCCUACGGGAGGCAGCAGUAGGGAAUCUUACGCAAUGGGCGAGAGCCUGGCAGAGCAACGCCGCGUGAGUGAUGAAGAGUUUCGGCUCGUAAAACUCUGUUAUUAGGGAAGAACAAAUGUGUAAGUAACUGUGCACGUCUUGACGGUACCUAAUCAGAAAGCCACGGCUAACUACGUG
rnacentral:rRNA from 1 species